rnacentral:piRNA from 1 species
AGAUUGCUAGAAAGGUCAAGACCA